GGGUUUAGGCUUAGUAGAACUAAAACCGAGUACAUGAUGUGCGGUUUUAGUACUACUAGGAGUGAGGAGGAGGAGGUUAGCCUUGAUGGCCAGGUGGUACCUCGGAAGGACACCUUUCGGUAUUUGGGGUCUAUCUUGCAGGAGGAUGGGGGUAUUGAUGAAGAUGUGAACCAUCGAAUCAAAGCCGGAUGGAUGAAGUGGCGCCAAGCUUCUGGCAUUCUCUGUGACAAGAGAGGGCCACAAAAGCUAAAAGGCAAGUUCUACAGGACGGCGGUUCGACCCGCAAUGUUGUAUGGCGCGGAGUGUUGGCCGACUAAAAGGCGACAUGUUCAACAGUUAGGUGUGGCGGAGAUGCGUAUGUUGAGAUGGAUGUGUGGCCACACGAGGAAGGAUCGAGUCCGGAAUGAUGAUAUACGAGAUAGAGUUGGGGUAGCACCAAUUGGGGAGAAGCUUGUCCAACAUCGUCUGAGAUGGUUUGGGCAUAUUCAGCGCAGGCCUCCAGAAGCUCCAGUGCAUAGCGGACAGCUA
rnacentral:rRNA from 1 species